rnacentral:rRNA from 1 species
CCUACGGCGAGCAGCAGUGGGGAAUAUUCCACAAUGGGCGCAAGCCUGCUGCAGCGACGCCGCGUGCGGGAUGGAGGCCUUCGGGUUGUAAACCGCUUUUGUUCAAGGGCAAGGCCCGGUCUUCGGCCGUCUUCCGUGGAUUCUUCGAAUACGCACAGACUAACUACGUGCCAGCUGCCGCUGUCCUACGUAGGCUGCACGCGUUAUCCGGGUUUAUUGGGCGGAAAGGGCUCGGAGGAGGUUGGUCGCGUCCGCUGUGCAAGUCCAGCGCUCAACGGUGGAUCCGAGGCGGGUACUGGAGGGAGUGAGUGCGAUAGGGGAGAAUGGAGUUCGCGGGGUAACGGGGGAAUGUGUAGAUAUAGGGAAG